GACGAACGCUGGCGGCGUGCCUAAUACAUGCAAGUUGAGCGAUGAAGAUUGGUGCUUGCACCAAUUUGAAGAGCAGCGAACGGGUGAGUAACGCGUGGGGAAUCUGCCUUUGAGCGGGGGGCAACAUUUGGAAACGAAUGCUAAUACCGCAUAACAACUUUAAACAUAAGUUUUAAGUUUGAAAGAUGCAAUUGCAUCACUCAAAGAUGAUCCCGCGUUGUAUUAGCUAGUUGGUGAGGUAAAGGCUCACCAAGGCGAUGAUACAUAGCCGACCUGAGAGGGGGAUCGGCCACAUUGGGACUGAGACACGGCCCAAACUCCUACGGGAGGCAGCAGUAGGGAAUCUUCGGCAAUGGACGAAAGUCUGACCGAGCAACGCCGCGUGAGUGAAGAAGGUUUUCGGAUCGUAAAACUCUGUUGGUAGAGAAGAACGUUGGUGAGAGUGGAAAGCUCAUCAAGUGACGGUAACUACCCAGAAAGGGACGGCUAACUACGUG
rnacentral:rRNA from 1 species